GGCGCAUACAUGUGCAAUGGUGAGUUCUGAUGAACCACUUGCUCGUGGCGGAGCGUCUCGACUCGGGUGUUAGCUAUUGUAUAUUUUUGAAAGUGUUGCCGACUUUGACCGAGCAUUGAAACAUACAUAAUCAUCCCGCGGUCUUGGACGACCCGUUCGGUCGUCCUGACGCGCGUCCUUGCAGCGUGACGACGCCGUAGACGCAGGCGCCCGGUGUUCGAACGGGCUUAGCCAUUUUCGCAGGUGUUGCAUCAUUUUUUUUUAACACACGGAAAACAGUCAUAAACAUACGGUUAUUACUAUUGUGACGAGAUCUGGCCGUAUCGACCUCCUUUUACAUUGUUUGGAGGCGGGAGCCAUUAAUUAAAGAAGAAGAAGAAGAAGUGUGCAAUGGUGUCAUGUGAGCCAUGAGAUUGAGCACGAGCAUGGUGAAUCCAAGUUGUCUAAUCAAGCUGAGCCAUUUGUGAAAUAGCGUAAUGUCGUUGCGUUUGGAUUAGCGCCGAGCCACUACCGUGUCUCCCAAUAAUCUAUAACUGGAAUCUAACUUUUUGGAAAGGAUCCUUUUUUCGUAUUGCAAGGUGCAAUCAGAAAUUCACAUGCGAAUGCAACAGAAGAGGAUAUUUCUGCUCCAUUAAAAAUAUGGUUAGCCC